GUGGCAGUAGCUCAGUUGGUAGAGCUCCGGCUUGUGGUGCCGGCGGUCGCGGGUUCGAAUCCCGUCUGCCACC
rnacentral:tRNA from 1 species